GCUCGAGUGGUGGCCCGGCGAGAAGGACUUAAAAUCCUUUGGCCAUUGCGGCUGUGCGGGUUCAAGUCCCGCUUCGAGUA
rnacentral:tRNA from 1 species